ACCUCAUAAGAAAAAAGCUUAAAAAAGUCACCACCUGAGGUAAAAAGCUUUUAGCUGUCAAACAGCUGUUUUAUUCCUAGGCGUACAAAACGGAGAGGAUAACUCAGGAGCAGCUGCAACAUUACAUAAUGUUUUGCAAGCAGCAUCCUGAGUUACAACGGGGGAAGCUAACUCCGACCAACCCUCAAGGGCUGCAAAUACUUUGGUCGGAGCUAGCAGAUAAUUUAAAUGCCUUAAGAGGUCCAACUCGGUCGGCAGCCAAGUGGAGGGAGUCAUUGAUGCAUUGGAAACAUCAGUUGCGAUCGCGAGCGCGCCAGCUGAAGGCACAUGCGCAAGCGACUGGUGGAGGCCCUCCGAUAAAUGGAAUGAGCGAAUUCGAUGAGCAAGCAAUUUGAACUUUUGGAGCAGCAGCGGUGGAUGGAUUGCCGGGUGUUGCGACUUUGGGUCACCAGGUUUUGCCGUUGUAUUUAAAUACAGUCACAUCGCCUGCUCCAGCGCCAACACCAACAGUCGCAUCGCCUGCUCCAGCAUCCUCGCCAGCAGUCACAUCUCCUGAUCCAGCUUUUCCUGCUCUGACUUUAAAUUUUUCUUCCUCGCCAUCACCUCAUUUUUCUUCCUCACCAUCACCUCCAUCUUCUUCCUUAUCUCCUCCCAUCUUAUCUGCUCAUAUGCCAACUCCUUCUUACAUCCCUCCUGAAAAAUUGACUGCAGCGAAGAUGCUUGGGACAGUGCUAAAGAAAAUGGAGGAUCGGGAAAAGCGUGAGGAGGAGGCCAUUGCUCUACAAAGGAAAAUUGUUGAGCAAAAUGUGCAGAUGACAGGGGUGCUGACCCAGAUGACAAAAGCACUAACCUCGCUGUCAGAGGUUAUGGCAAAAUUGUCUGAAAAAUUA